UACGUAGGGGGCAAGCGUUGUCCGGAAUCAUUGGGCGUAAAGAGCGUGUAGGCGGCUCGAUAAGUCUGCUGUGAAAGUCCAGGGCUCAACCCUGGAAGGCCGGUGGAAACUGUCGGGCUUGAGUACGGAAGAGGCGAGUGGAAUUCCUGGUGUAGCGGUGAAAUGCGCAGAUAUCAGGAGGAACACCAAUUGCGAAGGCAGCUCGCUGGGACGUUACUGACGCUGAGACGCGAAAGCGUGGGGAGCAAACAGG
rnacentral:rRNA from 1 species